rnacentral:hammerhead_ribozyme from 1 species
ACACUGAUGAAGAGUCCCAUACUAGGACGAAACGGCCGUCCAGUGC